rnacentral:rRNA from 1 species
AUUGAACGCUGGCGGAAUGCUUUACACAUGCAAGUCGAACGGCAGCACGGGGGCAACCCUGGUGGCGAGUGGCGAACGGGUGAGUAAUACAUCGGAACGUGCCCAGUCGUGGGGGAUAACGUAGCGAAAGUUACGCUAAUACCGCAUACGAUCUACGGACGAAAGCGGGGGACCGUAAGGCCUCGCGCGAUUGGAGCGGCCGAUGUCAGAUUAGGUAGUUGGUGAGGUAAAGGCUCACCAAGCCGACGAUCUGUAGCUGGUCUGAGAGGACGAUCAGCCACACUGGGACUGAGACACGGCCCAGACUCCUACGGGAGGCAGCAGUGGGGAAUUUUGGACAAUGGACGCAAGUCUGAUCCAGCCAUUCCGCGUGCAGGAUGGAGGCCCUCGGGUUGUAAACUGCUUUUGUACGGAACGAAAAGGUCUCUCUUAAUACGGGGGACUCAUGACGGUACCGUAAGAAUAAGCACCGGCUAACUACGUGCCAGCAGCCGCGGUAA